CUGCCGCUGAAAGCAUGGCGGCGACCAGGAGGACAGGGAGGGAGAGCAAAAAGAGCCAGGUUACUCUUUGAUCCAUUGGAAGGUGAAGGAAUUUCAGGUUAAGACUUGUCGCGAUCAUCUGCCGAAGCUCCAGUCAAAACAAGAAAAAAAAAAAAAAAACGAGAAGUUUUAAAUUCUUGAAAACUUCAGGAAGUGUGUCCUUCAAACUACUUGUGCCUAUCUGUUUCUCCUCCCUCUCCUCUGCUCCUAAAUCCAGUGGCGCCUCUGAAAUGUGAGGAAGAAGAAAGAAAAAAGCGUAGGAGAGGCUGGCAAACAAAACUCUGGGAUUUUGUCCAGGUCUUCAUGACAAGUCUCUCAGAUGUACACUAAGGUUUAUUUCAAAACAUCAAACAGCAGACACCAUCUUCAGCUUCUCCCCUCCUCCUCUCUUAAGUUUCUCCACUUUAACUUUAGAUUCAGCUGCACCGCAACUGUAAAAAGAAAAGACUUCAAAAAAAUCCAUUGCUCUGAGGCUCCAGUAAGAACAAGCAAAGGCGGCUAACAGGUCUGCAAGACGAGGAGAUUAUCUAGUCGUUUCCCUGUCAGCGGCGUCUUCUUCCACACCCUCAGGAAAGCCAAUCCUUCGAACAAACCGGGGGAAGAAAAGAUGACUAAAGUGUCUCUAGCCUGUGUGAUGGUUCUGGGCAUCUCUGUGUCAGGUCCAAACCCCAGUCUCCAGCGCUCCAGCGCUUUGUCUGUGGCUGUCAGCUGUUCAGACUCGUGGAGUGAAGCCAAGCAGCCGGAGGAAUGCUUUCCGAACCGCAAAGGCAGGAAAAACCACUGGAUAUCACGCCCUAGGCAAUCCAAACAUCCACUAAUAGGCGCAAAAAUUUACUACUAAAGAGGGAUCUAAUAUAAUGUAGUGGUUACGACGGUGCGCCAAUAGAAACUGACUUUAAAAUACAGCCGGGAUCUUUUAUGGACCCAA